rnacentral:rRNA from 1 species
CUCUUAGAUGUUCGGGGCCGCACGCGCGCUACACUGAAGGAAUCAGCACGUCUUUCUCCUUGUCCGAAAGGACUGGGUAACCCGCUGAACCUCCUUCGUGCUAGGGAUUGGGGCUUGUAAUUCUUCCCCAUGAACGAGGAAUUCCCAGUAAGCGCGAGUCAUAAGCUCGCGUUGAUUACGUCCCUGCCCUUUGUACACACCGCCCGUCGCUACUACCGAUUGGAUGGUUUAGUGAGAUCCUCGGAUUGGUCCCGGCGCGGCCUCUGGUCGUGCCGGAGUGCCGAAAAGAAUGUCGAACUUGAUCAUCUAGAGGAAGUAAAAGUCGUAACA